CUUUCUCGGGCACCAUGUGAUGUCUUCUACCAUGUACAGUGCAACAAGAAGGCUCUCACCAGAUGCUGGACCUUGAUAUUGGACUUUCCAGCCUCCAGAACUAUGAGCCAUCAUUUUUCUGCUCAUCAUAAAGUACCCAGUUUCAGGUGGAGAUGUGAGGCCAGGAGCUGCUCCAGCUGAAUUGAAUAUAAGUCUUUAAGCUAAAAGAUUCAAUCUUCUACAUAGGAAUUUCAGAGUACUAUUGGAACAAGAUGUGUCAAUGUGAAGAUCUCCAGCUGUUAAUGUUCACUAGGCUCUCAUGCCAGCCUGUAUUUUCUGGGCCCUUAGCCUGUGAUACAGGCUAGGCCCUCCUACAUGGGGUCCUGCCACUUCUCAGGAAGAGGACUUACCCGGCAUACUUUGUGCCUUUAGAUAAAACCGCUACCAUUCUAUCACUUUGGAGAUUUCAAAUUACAAAGAAACUAUUCA
rnacentral:lncRNA from 1 species